GAUGAAGAACGUAGCGAAAUGCGAUAAGUAAUGCGAAUUGCAGAAUUCAGUGAAUCAUCGAAUCUUUGAACGCACAUUGCGCCCGCCAGUAUUCUGGCGGGCAUGCCUGUCUGAGCGUCGUUUCGACCCUCGUGCCCGGCUUCUGUCGGGGGCGGUGUUGGGGAUCGGCCACACCCUUCAGUGGGAGGCCGGCCCCUAAAUUCAGUGGCGACCACGCUGUAGCCUCCCCUGCGUAGUACUAAAACCACCUCGCAGGCGGAGAGCGGUGCGGCCCGCCGUAAAACCCCCCAACUUUUACAAGGUCGACCUCAGAUCAGGUAGGAAUACCCGCUGAACUUAAGCAUAUCAAUAAGCGGAGGA
rnacentral:misc_RNA from 1 species